rnacentral:rRNA from 2 species
GAUUAGCCAUGCAUGUCUAAGUACAUGCCGUAUUAAGGCGAAACCGCGAAUGGCUCAUUAAAUCAGUCAUGGUUCCUUGGAUCGUACCUUACUACUUGGAUAACUGUGGCAAUUCUAGAGCUAAUACAUGCAGCAGAGCUCCGACCUUCGGGGACGAGCGCUUUUAUUAGACCAAAACCAAUCGGACCUCGUGUCCGUCCUUUGUGGUGACUCUGUAUAACUUUGGGCUGAUCGCACGGGCCUGUCCCGGCGACGUAUCUUUCAAGUGUCUGCCUUAUCAACUUUCGAUGGUAGGUUACGCGCCUACCAUGGUCGUAACGGGUAACGGGGAAUCAGGGUUCGAUUCCGGAGAGGGAGCCUGAGAAACGGCUACCACAUCCAAGGAAGGCAGCAGGCGCGCAAAUUACCCACUCCCAGAACGGGGAGGUAGUGACGAAAAAUAACAAUACGGGACUCUUUUGAGACCCCGUAAUUGGAAUGAGUACACUCUAAAUCCUUUAACGAGGAUCCAUUGGAGGGUAAGUCUGGUGCCAGCAGCCGCGGUAAUUCCAGCUCCAAUAGCGUAUAUUAAAGUUGUUGCGGUUAAAAAGCUCGUAGUUGGAUCUCAGUUCCAGACGGGUGGUCCUCCUACCGGUGGCUACUGCCUGUUCUGAACAGUCAGCCGGUUUCUCUUGAUGAUCUUCACCGGUUGUCUUGGGUGACCGGCAAGUUUACUUUGAAAAAAUUAGAGUGCUCAAAGCAGGCGUGACGCCUGAAUAAUGGUGCAUGGAAUAAUGGAAUAGGACCUCGGUUCUAUUUUGUUGGUUUUCGGAACACGAGGUAAUGAUUAAGAGGGACAGACGGGGGCAUUCGUAUUGCGACGCUAGAGGUGAAAUUCUUGGACCGUCGCAAGACGAACUACUGCGAAAGCAUUUGCCAAGAAUGUUUCCAUUAAUCAAGAACGAAAGUUAGAGGUUCGAA